CGGAGUGUUGCUGAGACGCCCAACAUCGCGUCGCAGUGUUGCCAAAUCCGCGAAAGCUUUUCCAUCCGUGCGAGACUCUUCCCCUUGAUUCUGAUGAUCUUUGCGAGAUUUUUUCUUUUCCCAACUGUCACUGAUUAUCCCUGCUCAUCCCUACUCCUCUCUCGCUCUUUCUCUCUCUCUCUUUCCGUCUCUCCGAUAGAAGAUCGAAGGAAAGAAGAACAUCGUGGGACUGAGACGACUCAGUGGCAAAGAGGAUGAGGUUGAACGGUGGCGAUCGAUGCCACGUUAGAGUAGCUGGUCUUUACACGAUCCAAAGGUAGUAGUAGCCUUCGGAAAAGGCCCGAGAGUUUCUAUUCGAAGCCGGAGAAGAGUAGAAAAAAAAGCAAAUAACGAAAAUAAAAAAAAAGGAAGAUAGGGAAAGAGAGAGAGGAAGGGAAACGUGGAGGAGAUCGGGUAUUCCGUGCGUUCGUCGCGCACGGAAUACGUUCAAAACGAAGAGAGAGAGAGAGAGAGAAAGAGAGAAAAAGGGCUGUAAGGGUGGGGGUAGUUUAGAUGCCCUCUACAUACACGUCCAACGUCGUAGCAGAAAACGACCUAGCCAAGCGGGUUGUGCUGUUGAAAGAAGACGGAGAGAACAAAUUCAAGCUUGCUGAGUCGUCCUUAUCGUAACGCAAGUUUAAUAAACAAGAAGCAGAAGAAGCAGAAGCAGCAGAAGGAAACGAAAGGAGGAUAAGAAGAUAGAGAAGAAAAGAAGAAGACGAAGAUGAAGCAGAAGAAGAAGAAGAAGAAGAAGAAGAAGAAGAGAAGGAAAAGGAUGCUGGGGAUCCUUUCGUUUGAGCUAUCACCUCGAGAUCGUUCGUGGUAUGCGCUACCUAAAAGCACGUUCUUAAUUCAUGGCGAUCGCUCAACGUUGCAACGCGCCGUCGAAAUAAUAAAUAUUACGCCUUACUGCGAGUAGCAA
rnacentral:lncRNA from 1 species